ensembl:snRNA U6 U6 spliceosomal RNA
UUGCUUCAGCAGCACUUAUACUAAAAUUGGAACAACAGAGUAGAUUAGCAUGGCUUCUGCACAAGGAUGACACUCAAAUUCGUGAGACAUUGAAUAUUUUU